CAUAUGUAGAGGGCACGUGAGUGAAAGGAUGAUGUUUUCCAUUUCGUGUGUCAAAACGUAUUGAAAAUUUGUAAACAAUGAUAAAAAUUAUUUAUUACAAUUAUUCUAAAAAGAUAUCUUGACGAAACCUAAAAGUUUAAUAUAAGAAAAAUAGUUUUCUACUAUCAGGUAUCAAAACGAAUACGAAUUUAAGUUUUCAUCUUGUAGAAUUCGUGGCUCCAGUUUUAGUUCACAAUAAUGAUGAAAUGCAUAGUUCCUGGAUGCCGCUCGAAGGAAAAUAAAUCCAGAGCUAAUUUCUAUAACGUCCCGUCAACCGGUUACAGCGUGUUCAGAGAAUGGAAAAAGUUUUUGAAUUUAUCUGAAUGUAGAACAGAAAAAAUUUGCAGGCGUCAUUUCACUGUUAAAGAUUUUUAUAUUCAUAAUCGUAUCGAAUUGAAAGAUGAUGCUAUUCCGUCAUUAAGAAUUCCACAGAGUGGUCCGAAGGUAGAUAUAGAAGGAGCUUGCUGUGUUUUUCGAUGCGGAACAAAAAAUAGUAAGAAAUUGCGAAAGUUUCCAUCACGGAAGGCUAUUUUGAAUAGAUGGUUGCAAACAUUAGAAAUUGGAGAACAUGUUACAACUAAGCUUAAAAUUUGUUUGCGGCAUUUUACUGUCAACGAUUACGUUAAAGUUACGAGGAGAUACCUAAAACCAAGUGCUAUCCCAUCAAAACAUAUGAAAAAACUUGUCAAAUAUCCCAAACGAUUUCAACGUGCUAAAGUACCGCCUUCACAUUUAUGGGAUCACAACUACUGUGUGUACUAUAGAACUCGUCUUACUACGAAUCGAGUAUGUUACGUUAUGGGUUGUUCUUCGAGAGCAUGCAAAGGAAUUUCUUUACAUAAAUUUCCAAUGAAAAAUAAUUCACUUUUUAAAUCAUGGACAAAAGCUUUGCAAUGCUCCGUAAUGCCAACGAAAAACUCACGUGUUUGCAGUAAGCACUUUCGGAAAUCGGAUUUUGUUCAACGUAACUUUAUUUUCUUUUUAUAUCAAAUCCUUUGUAUCGCGAAACCUAAUUCUAGGGGGACGAGUUUUGAAAAAAACAGCAAUUCCUAUCAAUAAAUCCUCUGCUACAACGAUGUACGGAAUAAAUAGUGUUGAAUGUUCUGACCUUUCUUUAUGCGAUGACAACAGUGUGGAGGAUUUGUCCACGUCAAAAAUCACUAACUCACCACCCCAGAGUAGCUCUCAUGAUACCGAGAAUAAUCUGAAAAUGACCAUAAUAAAAAAUUCAUCGUGUGAAACCAACGAAAUUGUUAUUUCACCCGCUGAAGAAGCAACUGCUGACGUCGAUGUGCAAGUAGACAAUUAUUACGGUCACAUAGUUCAAGAAACUGUAAAGAAUGUUCAAAAAGAUAACAGCUUGAUUCUUUCCGAUCUCCUGCAAACAGACUUUGAGACUAACAUUUGGACCGGAAUUUCGACACUUGAACAAUUAGAAGAGAUAUGUUUGGCAGUUAAAACUUUAGAAGAUAAUUUGUAUCCCAGAAAAUUUAAAAUGCAUGCAACUGAUCGCGUAAUUUUGUCUCUGGCCAAACUCAAGCAAAAUAUUUCGUAUGAAGCAUUGGGUACUUUAUUUCGUAUAUCAGGUGUAACAGUAUCGAAAUAUAUUUCCCACACAAUUCAAAUGUUGGCACGUGUUUUGAGACGUUUUGUUUAUUGGCCGUCCAGAGAAGAGCUUCAAAAGAAUGUACCUUUGUGCUUCCGCGAGCAUUUUACCAAUGUAACUGUUGUGUUAGAUGCCUUUGAAGUACCGGUUGCUACACUUAAAUGCCUCAACUGCAGAAUUUCGUGCUAUUCGCACUACAAAUCCCAUCGCACGGUAAAAUUUCUUGUUGGUGUGUCACCUGGAGGAAUUAUAACAUUUAUAAGCAAAGCAUAU